UACGGGGGGAGCAAGCGUUGUUCGGAUUUACUGGGCGUAAAGGGCGCGUAGGCGGUAGCACAAGUCAGUUGUGAAAUCUCCGGGCUUAACUCGGAAAGGUCAACCGAUACUGCGGGGCUAGAGUGCAGAAGGGGCAACUGGAAUUCUCGGUGUAGCGGUGAAAUGCGUAGAUAUCGAGAGGAACACCUGCGGCGAAGGCGGGUUGCUGGGCUGACACUGACGCUGAUGUGCGAAAGCUAGGGGAGCGAACGGG
rnacentral:rRNA from 1 species